rnacentral:rRNA from 1 species
UAACGGCUCACCAAGUCGACGAUCGGUAGCCGGACUGAGAGGUUGAACGGCCACAUUGGGACUGAGACACGGCCCAGACUCCUACGGGAGGCAGCAGUGGGGGAUAUUGCACAAUGGGCGAAAGCCUGAUGCAGCGACGCCGCGUGAGGGAAGACGGCCUUCGGGUUGUAAACCUCUGUCAUUCGGGACGAAUAGAUGACGGUACCGAAGAAGGAAGCUCCGGCUAACUAC